rnacentral:rRNA from 1 species
AUAAUACUCCAUAGAUUAGAGACACUGGAAUGUUCUUUAGUCGAAAGUUCUGGCGCCUUAGGAUGGAUCUGCGGUCGAUUAGGUUGUUGUUGGGGUAACGGCCCAACAAGCCUGUAAUCGAUACGGGUUGUGGGAGCAAGAGCCCGGAGAUGGAAUCUGAGACACGAUUCCAGGCCCUACGGGGCGCAGCAGGCGCGAAAACUUUACAAUGCAGGAAACUGUGAUAAGGGAACUCCGAGUGCCCGUAUACGCGGGCUGUCCAGGUGUUUAAAAAUCAUCUGAAGAAAGGGCCGGGCAAGACCGGUGCCAGCCGCCGCGGUAAUACCGGCGGCUCGAGUGGUGGCCACUAUUAUUGGGCUUAAAGCGUCCGUAGCUGGACCGAUAAGUCUCUUGGGAAAUCCGCCGGCUCAACCGGCGGGCGUCUAAGGGAUACUGUUAGUCUAGGGACCGGGAGAGGUGUGAGGUACUCCGGGGGUAGGAGUGAAAUCCUGUAAUCCCCGGGGGACCACCGAUGGCGAAGGCAUCUCACCAGAACGGCUCCGACAGUGAGGGACGAAAGCUGGGGGAGCGAACCGGAUUAGAUACCCGGGUAGUCCCAACCGUAAACUAUGCGCGUUAGGUGU